rnacentral:lncRNA from 1 species
UAUUUUUUCGUACCACGGCGAGGCCGGAUUCCUGUUUUAUCAUGAAUAUUCAUUAGGCAGGGUCGGGGAAAGUCUCGAUUCUCUUAAAUAUUCAUAUCGAGGUGGGAAUGCACGACGCGCGCUAUACUCGCACAAAGUGAGAAGAUUUAGUUCACGGAGAAUGCAUAUGGAUUGAAACUGAAGAGCUGGAAGGAGGACAUUACAACAUCUCUUAUAUUUGCAAGAUGAAGCAGAAAGUCCCAUGCAGGAUGAUGCCUCUCUACAGUGGAUGAUGAAGGCAUUCUGGUUUGCAAACUCAGGAGAGGAACAAAGAACAGAUGUUGACGGGAUCAUAUCUAGAGAUGCGGGCCUACUACACUUCAUACGAGCAAGUGUGCUAAUAUACAUGAAGACUUGGGUUAUAUUUUUUUCUGAAAACUAGGCUACAACUUUAGUGAUGGAUGCAGAAGAUAUCUACACGAGACUACGUCUUAAAGAUGCCACCCUCAUAUAAUGAAAGAGGACAAUAGAGAUGGGUUUAAACUGGAA